rnacentral:lncRNA from 1 species
UGCUGAUGAUUGCGGGUUUUGAAGCAUCCUUGCUAAGAAAGACAUACUUUAAGUGAGAAGGAAGUUCUUUUAAUUCUGGAAUUUUUUCUUCCUCAUCAUUCAACGAUUUCGCCCCCAAUUUCCCUUCAUCACGUAUUUCUUCGAUUUUUGGGGGUUUAAUCAGUUGCUCGUUUGCUUCUAGUUGCUUGACACAUUCUUUCACCUCAAGAUCUUCGACAUGUUCACAACUCUCUAUAGAAUUAACAAUUGUCUCUUCCAUAGGUUGUGUUGGUUUGGGUUCACGGGAUUUG